ACCCGCUGAACUUAAGCAUAUCAAUAAGCGGAGGAAAAGAAACCAACAGGGAUUGCCCUAGUAACGGCGAGUGAAGCGGCAACAGCUCAAAUUUGAAAUCUGGCUCUUUUAGAGUCCGAGUUGUAAUUUGCAGAGGGCGCUUUGGCUUUGGCAGCGGUCCAAGUUCCUUGGAACAGGACGUCACAGAGGGUGAGAAUCCCGUACGUGGUCGCUGGCUAUUGCCGUGUAAAGCCCCUUCGACGAGUCGAGUUGUUUGGGAAUGCAGCUCUAAAUGGGAGGUACAUUUCUUCUAAAGCUAAAUAUUGGCCAGAGACCGAUAGCGCACAAGUAGAGUGAUCGAAAGAUGAAAAGCACUUUGGAAAGAGAGUCAAACAGCACGUGAAAUUGUUAAAAGGGAAGCGCUUGCAGCCAGACUUGCUUACAGUUGCUCAUCCGGGCUUUUGCCCGGUGCACUCUUCUGUAGGCAGGCCAGCAUCAGUUUGGGCGGUAGGAUAAAGGUCUCUGUCACGUACCUCUCUUCGGGGAGGCCUUAUAGGGGAGACGACAUACUACCAGCCUGGACUGAGGUCCGCGCAUCUGCUAGGAUGCUGGCGUAAUGGCUGU
rnacentral:rRNA from 1 species